GAUGAACGCUGGCGGCGUGCUUAACACAUGCAAGUCGAACGGGAAACCUUUUAAUGAAGCUUCGGCAGAUUUAGCUGGUUUCUAGUGGCGGACGGGUGAGUAACGCGUGGGUAACCUGCCUUAUACAGGGGGAUAACAGUCAGAAAUGACUGCUAAUACCGCAUAAGCGCACAGGACCGCAUGGUCCGGUGUGAAAAACUCCGGUGGUAUAAGAUGGACCCGCGUUGGAUUAGCUUGUUGGUGGGGUAACGGCUCACCAAGGCGACGAUCCAUAGCCGGCCUGAGAGGGUGAACGGCCACAUUGGGACUGAGACACGGCCCAGACUCCUACGGGAGGCAGCAGUGGGGAAUAUUGCACAAUGGGGGAAACCCUGAUGCAGCGACGCCGCGUGAAGGAAGAAGUAUCUCGGUAUGUAAACUUCUAUCAGCAGGGAAGAUAGUGACG
rnacentral:rRNA from 1 species